AGCAGCCGCGGUAAUUCCAGCUCCAAUAGCGUAUAUUAAAGUUGUUGCAGUUAAAAAGCUCGUAGUUGAACUUCGGAAUUUAUUCAUUGGUCAGACUUAACUGUCUGUACUGGUGUUAUGAAUUCCUCCCUUCUGAGGAAUUAUCAUGCCAUUUAGUUGGUGUGGUAGGGAAUCAGGCCUGUUACUUUGAAAAAAUUAGAGUGUUUAAAGCAGGCUAACGUCUGAAUACAUUAGCAUGGAAUAAUAGAAUAGGACGGAUUGGUUCUAUUUUGUUGGUUUCUAGGAUCACCGUAAUGAUUAAUAGGGAUAGUUGGGGGCAUUAGUAUUCAAUUGUCAGAGGUGAAAUUCUUGGAUUUAUUGAAGACUAACUACUGCGAAAGCAUUUGCCAAGGAUGUUUUCAUUAAUCAAGAACGAAAGUUAGGGGAUCGAAGACGAUCAGAUACCGUCGUAGUCUUAACCAUAAACUAUGCCGACUAGGGAUCGGACGAAGUUAAUUUUUAAAUGACUCGUUCGGCACCUUACG
rnacentral:rRNA from 1 species